UGGAAUGUAGCUCAGUAGGAAGAGCGGAGAUGCUGAAUUCUUGACGUCAGAGGUUCAAGUCCUCUCAUUCCAUUA
rnacentral:tRNA from 3 species